UUUCCGUAGGUGAACCUGUGGAAGGAUCAUUGUCGUGACCCUGACCAAAACAGACCGCGAACGUGUCAUCUAGCUUGCCGGCGGCGGCAUCGUUCGUCGCUCGGCCAAGUCCUCGACACCUCCUCUUCUUGGAGUGGAGGCUCGGGGUAAAAGAACCCAUGGCGCCUAAGGCGUCAAGGAACACUGUGCCUAGCUCGGGGACGCGGACGGCUUGCUGGCCGCCCCCCGUGCUGCAAUGCUAUUUAAUCCACACGACUCUCGGCAACGGAUAUCUCGGCUCUC
rnacentral:misc_RNA from 1 species